rnacentral:rRNA from 1 species
AACGAACGCUGGCGGCAUGCCUAACACAUGCAAGUCGAACGAGACCUUCGGGUCUAGUGGCGCACGGGUGCGUAACGCGUGGGAAUCUGCCCUUCGGUUCGGAAUAACAGUGGGAAACUACUGCUAAUACCGGAUAAUGACGUAAGUCCAAAGAUUUAUCGCCGAAGGAUGAGCCCGCGUAGGAUUAGCUAGUUGGUGGGGUAAAGGCCUACCAAGGCGACGAUCCUUAGCUGGUCUGAGAGGAUGAUCAGCCACACUGGGACUGAGACACGGCCCAGACUCCUACGGGAGGCAGCAGUGGGGAAUAUUGGACAAUGGGCGAAAGCCUGAUCCAGCAAUGCCGCGUGAGUGAUGAAGGCCUUAGGGUUGUAAAGCUCUUUUACCCGGGAUGAUAAUGACAGUACCGGGAGAAUAAGCUCCGGCUAACUCCGUGCC